rnacentral:rRNA from 1 species
UACGUAGGGUGCGAGCGUUUGUCCGGAAUUACUGGGCGUAAAGAGCUCGUAGGUGGUUUGUCGCGUUGUUCGUGAAAACUCACCAGCUCAACUGUGGGCGUGCGGGCGAUACGGGCAGACUGGAGUACUGGCAGGGGAGACUGGAAUUCCUGGUGUAGCGGCGGAAUGCGCAGAUAUCGGGAGGAACACCGGUGGCGAAGGCG